AUCCUCCCGCACGUACAGAUGGACACGAAUAGGCUUCGGCUUAGCGUCUUAGCAGGCGAUUACUCCACUGCUCUCGAAGCGAGUAGUGGUAUUUCGCGAAUUGUAAUUUCAGCACGAGCGGGGUUAAAUCCUUUGCAGACGACUUAGAUGUGCGAAAGGGUCCUGUAAGCAGUAGAGUAGCCUUGUUGUUACGAUCUGCUGAGGGUAAGCCCUCCUUCGCCUCGAUUUCCUCAUGAACUCCAGCGGCCGACGGCCGCGAGCACACGAGGGUUAGGGGACUGCCGCGGGCAGGGACUUGAGGGGCCGCGCCGACGAUUCGGUGCGGCCAAGUCUCGUCUCGACGACGCAAGUACCCUGGAAAGGAUAUUGCGGACGGCCGUGACGGCCAAGUGCGUGUCCGCGACGCCAGGUACCCUGGAAGGGACGCGGUCGAGGCCCGAGACGUGCAACGCAGAACGAAGUGCCCGAGUGCGCCGGGUACCCUGCAAUAGGCUUUAGAGGGCGAGGCGCCAGGUACCCCGGAAAGGGCCUGGGGUGGCCAAGUACCCUGGAGAGCGAUUCCCUAGUACCCUGGAAAGGAGAUGGAUGCUGAGCCCCCUGGAAUGGCCAAGUACCCUGGAGCAGAAUUCCCGAGUACCCCGGAAAGCGAUUCCCAAGUACCCUGGAAAGCAGUUCCCAAGUACCCUGGAGCAGAAUUCCCAGGUACCCUGGAAAGCAAUUCCUACGCACCCUGGAGCAGAAUUCCCGAGUACCCCGGAAAGCGAUUCCCAAGUACCCUGGAAAGCAGUUCCCAAGUACCCUGGAGCAGAAUUCCCAGGUACCCUGGAAAGCAAUUCCUACGCACCCUGGAGCAGAAUUCCCGAGUACCCCGGAAAGCGAUUCCCAAGUACCCUGGAAAGCAAUUCCCAAGUACCCUGGAGCAGAAUUCCCAGGUACCCUGGAAAGCAAUUCCUACGCACCCUAGGGCGGAAUUCCCAGGUACCCUGGAAAGCAAUUCCUACGCACCCUAGGGCGGAAUUCCCAAGUACCCUAGGGUAGAAGCCUUAAGUACCCUAUAAAGCAGUCUUUAGGUACCUUAGAAAGGAGAUCCUAAGUGUAAAUAUUUUUUCGGUAAAUAAAAUAGACAUAGAAGUAGCUGUAGUAGAGAAGUAGUAGGAUUAGAAGCGUUACUUAUACUAAGGCCUAUAUUAUAAAACUGUUAAAUAGGGUACUAGAAAAUAAAAGAGUUAUUAAGGGACUAUACAAAGGAGGUUAGAUUAAGAGGGGAGCUUUUUCUUAAAAGGUAAGUAGUAUUCUACUUUUAUACAGUCACCUCUCUUAAUAAGGGUAGAAGAUAAGAUAGAAAUAGGCUAUCUAUACAGGUAAGGAUAUAUAGUAACGCCUACAUAGUAUAAAGAAUAGAGUGUCUAAGUAUAGUAGUAAAAGUAAAUAGUACUAAGACUAGAAUAAUAUAUACUUAUAUAUUAGAUUCUAAGACGUAUAUACAAGAGAGAAGCUUUAAUGCUUAUAGUAGACUAUAGGUUUAUAAAGAAUAGAGAUAAGUAAAGACGGAGAUAAAGGCAGACCUCUAAAGGAAAGCUACUUUAUGGAAAGGAAGUCUAGGUACCCUAGGAAGGCCAAGUACCCUGGAAAGAACGUCCUAGGUACCCUGGAAAGGCCAAGUACCCUGGAAAAAGUCCCAGGUACCCUGGAAAGGCCAAGUACCCUGGAAAAAGUCCCAGGUACCCUGGAAAGGCCAAGUACCCUGGAAAAAGUCCCAGGUACCCUGGAAAGGCCAAGUACCCUGGAAAAAGUCCCAGGUACCCUGGAAAGGGACUUUCUACCUUGGCGCCUAGGCUAUAAGUAGGUAGUAUAGGGCUGUAGAGCGCCUCUAGGGGAGCCUAGCGCACCAGGCCCUAUAGCUAUAGCGCCUACAGCGGGCGAGAAAACCGCUGCGGAAGUUCAAAAAACCGGCGGUUGGACUGCGGGGUGGGCGCCCGCGGGCUGCCCGGCACGGCGGGCUUAUAGAGCUCGCUGCGGCGGUUACAGCGCCGUAAGGCCCUAUACGGUAGGCACUAUAGCGCUGGAGAUACGGCGGCCCAAAGCCGCAGGUACCCUGGAAGGCAAUUGUCAAGUACCCUGGAAGGGAAAAAGAGGUGGGCCGCAGGGCGCCGCCGAGCAGCUGGUGGCGGCGACGACGUGGGCGGUCGACGGGCAUACCUGGGUUUUGCGUGCGGGAUCGGAUAAGGUUUUGGUGGCCGUGAGUCGAUUUUUUUGUUUUCCCAUACAAAUCUUUUUUUCGGGAAAUGUUUUUUCGGGACAGAAGCAGGUGGAGCGGGGCCGGGGCGCAAAAAGUGUCGCAGGGCCUAUGAGAAGAGAGCGAGUGCAGCCAACCGGCGGCACAGCGCAACUGCUCCACCCGCUGAGGGUGCGCGCUGUAGAAAUACAGCGCAACCGUCCCAUAUCUUAAUGACUGCUGCGUGGCGUCUCUCUGAACAGCCUCGCAGGUAUCUUCCUCGGUGGCGGGGAGUUCGUAGCAGCAGUCGACGCCCACUGUGGUGCACCGCUAAGGCGGCGCAUCAUCCUGGGAGUGCCCGGAGGGUUUGGGGGUCACGAGCCCCUAGACCCGAAGGAUGGGUUCUGUGGAUGAAUGGCCGUUGGCUAUACUUACACUGAGCAUCGGGAGAGAAACGCCCGCGGUCGGACGCUGAAUAGCUGAAGCCGCGGGGCCAGUUGCUCCUCUUGGGACCCCCCAACCACGCAACCCCCCCGGGGGCACAGCGCGGUGAACGGGGUCCUGGGGAAUUCAGAGGGGGAAAGCGGAAGCUUCCUCUGCGCCUACGGCCUAGCCGGACGGCCGCAGGGGGGGCGCGAGCGCUGUUUCGGCAGCGUGAGCGAUUCCGGUGACUAAAACGCUUCGGCCGCUGCUUGCAGCGCCGAUGGCCGGCUCACCCCGGCGCACGAU
rnacentral:misc_RNA from 1 species